rnacentral:rRNA from 1 species
AUGCACGCUGGCGGCGUGCCUAAUACAUGCCAGUCGAGCGAACGGACGAGAAGCUUGCUUCUCUGAUGUUAGCGGCGGACGGGUGAGUAACACGUGGAUAACCUACCUAUAAGACUGGGAUAACUUCGGGAAACCGGAGCUAAUACCGGAUAAUAUUUUGAACCGCAUGGUUCAAAAGUGAAAGACGGUCUUGCUGUCACUUAUAGAUGGAUCCGCGCUGCAUUAGCUAGUUGGUAAGGUAACGGCUUACCAAGGCAACGAUGCAUAGCCGACCUGAGAGGGUGAUCGGCCACACUGGAACUGAGACACGGUCCAGACUCCUACGGGAGGCAGCAGUAGGGAAUCUUCCGCAAUGGGCGAAAGCCUGACGGAGCAACGCCGCGUGAGUGAUGAAGGUCUUCGGAUCGUAAAACUCUGUUAUUAGGGAAGAACAUAUGUGUAAGUAACUGUGCACAUCUUGACGGUACCUAAUCAGGAAGCCACGGCUAACUACGUG